rnacentral:rRNA from 1 species
UCGAGAAUCUUCCGCAAUGGGCGCAAGCCUGACGGAGCGAUGCCGCGUGAGGGAUGAAGGCCUUCGGGUUGUAAACCUCUGUCAGAGGGGACGAAGAAUGUGACGGUACCCUCAGAGGAAGCCACGGCUAACUACGUGCCAGCAGCCGCGGUAAUACGUAGGUGGCGAGCGUUAUUCGGAUUCACUGGGCGUAAAGGGUCCGUAGGGGGUCUGCCAAGUCUGGUGUGAAAGCCCGUGGCUCAACUGCGGAACGGCACUGGAUACUGGCGGGCUACGAGUCUGCGAGGGGUAAGCGGAAUUCCUGGUGUAGCGGUGGAAUGCGUAGAUAUCAGGAAGAACACCGAUGGCGAAGGCGGCUUACUGGCGCAGUACUGACCCUGAGGGACGAAAGCGUGGGUAGCAAACA